rnacentral:rRNA from 1 species
UCGUAGUCAAACCCCACAGCCACGCGAACUCUAAGUCAGCCACGAAUAGGCUAUCCCAACUAACGGCGGGAAAGACUCCACGGAGGGUGUAAGACCCGUGUGGGCGCGUGUUAAAGCUGUGCGGGUUCGGCCUCUUUUCCCUGAGAGUCGCGUUGCUUGAGCAUGCAGCGCUAAGCAGGUCGUAAACUCGAUCUAAGGCUAAAUAUAUCCACAGACCCGAUAGCGAACAAGUACCGUGAGGGAAAGUUGAAAAGCACUCUGGAGAGAGAGUCAAAAGACCGUGAAACCGCUCAGAGUAUAAGCCCAUGGCAGCUUGGAAGGCAUAUCGCUAGCGGGGCAUCGGUCUCCCUUCACGGGGAGCUGGUGUUACCUUGCUUCUGUUGUGGCUCGUCACGGUAGGGGGGUCAAGUCCACAUCCCGCCGACGUGUGGAGAGUUCUCGGGUGCGUUGGGUUAUGCGGAGUUGGUUUCGGCCGCGCCGUUUUAGCUCUUCGUGCUUGGUUCUCUUUCAACACGGACGUUCAGACUCAGAGGCAAGACGCGAUAAACAGCCCACCACGGCACGUUGUGAGGUCACCCACAGGCUCAACUUUUGAUUGUGGUCCUUGACGCCGAGCAAGCACAAUGCGUGUCGCAAAUGUUCCUAACCAGGGCGUGGUACCCCCGGACGGUGGAACGACACGCGCUCACGAGAGUCAGGAUCGGGCAAUGACAGAGUUCUGGUUUGAUCCUCAUGCGACGAGCCGGCUUCUGGCCAAAUUCCGAUGUUCGGGUCUCCCGCAUGUGCCGCGGGAGACCCAUUCGACGGUCUGGAGCUCAGCUCUCCUCUCAGUCGGGCAUCGGAAAGAGUGGUGUAAAGUCCAAGCCCAUCGGUCACGUCUCGAAACACGGGCCAAGGAGUAUAGCAUGUGUGCAAGUCUAAGAGUCUCCCAAAACUCGAAGGCGAAGUGAAAGCAAGUUGUGGCGGGUGAUCGUCCCAGUGAUCCCGUCAGCUAGAGGGUCCC